rnacentral:lncRNA from 1 species
UUGAAGGCAUUUUCAGGUGGGACAUUGAGUUAUAUAUUCAACAGUUUUGUCGACACACGAGCGUUCAGUGAAGUAGUGAUGGAGGCAAAAGCAGCAGGCUACACCGAACCUGACCCUAGGGAUGAUCUUGCUGGUACCGAUGUAGCCAGAAAGGUGAUAAUUCUUGCUAGAGAAUGUGGUUUUAAACCUUGAACUUUCAGAUAUUCCUGUGCAAAGCCUUGUGCCAGACCCAUUAA